rnacentral:rRNA from 1 species
AGCCUCAGCACCUGCGGCAGGCCUAACACAUCAAAGUCGGACGGUAAGGCUUAGCAGCUUGCCGCUUCCUAACGAUUGGGGUCCGGUUGAGUAAUUUCUGGAAAACUGCCUCAUGGAAGGGGAUAACAACUGAAAACGUUCGUUAAUAUCCUAUAACGUCGCAAGACAAAGGAGGGGAACCUCCGGGGCUCUUGCCAACAGAUGGGCCAACAAGGAAUUAGGCUUUUUGGUAAGGAAACGGCCCACAAAGGCAACGAUGCCUAGCGGGUUUGAGAGAAUGGCAGCCACACUCGAACUGAGACACGGUCCAGACUCCUACGGGAGGCAGCAGUGGGGAAUAUUGCACAAUGCGCGCAAGCCUGUUGCAGCCAUGCCGCGUGUAUGAAGAAGGCCUUCGGGUUGUAAAGUACUUUCAGCGGGCAAGAAGGUGUUAGGGUUAAAAACAUAAAGAAUUGACGUUACCCGCAGAAGAAGCACCGGCUAACUCCGUGCCAGCAGCCGCCGUAAUACGGAGGGUGCAAGCCCCAAUCGGAAUUAUGGGGCGUAAGGCGAACGCCGGCGGUCUGUCAAGUGGGAUGUGAAAUCCCCGGGCACAAAAUGGGAAAUGCAUUACAAACUGGCAGGUUUGAGUCUUGUAGAGGGCGGUAGAAUUCCAGGUGUAAUAGGGAUGUGAUCCCAGAUCUGGAGGAAUACCGGUGGCGAAGGCGGCCAUAUAUGAUUAGACUGAGAUGAUGGUGCGAAAGCGUGACAGGCAAACAGAUGUAGAUACCGAUGUAGUCCACUUGCCGUGCAGAUGACCUGUGAUACUUGUGCCCUUGAGGCGUGGCUUCCGAUGGUGACCAGGUAAGUAGAGCGCCUGGGGAGUACGGCCGCAAGGUUAAAACUCAAAUGAAUUGACGGGGGCCCGCACAAGCGGUGGAGCAAGUGGUUUAAUUCGAUGCAACGCGAAGAACCUUACCUGGUCUUGACAUCCACAGAACGAUGGCACUGGCCACCGAUGGAUUGGUGCCUGUGCGGGAACUGUGAGAGAGAUGACACACAGCUCGUGUUGUGAAAUGUUGGGUUUAGUCCCGCAACGAGCGCAACCCUUAUCCUUUGUUGCCAGCGGUCCGGCCGGGAACUCAAAGGAGAUGGCCGGUGAUAAACUGGUGGAAGGUGGGGAUGACAGUGAGUCAUCAUUGAGCUUACGACCAGGGCUACACACGAACUACAAUGGCGCAUACAAAGAGAAGCGACCUCGCGAGAGCAAGCGGACCUCAAUAAGUAGUCGUCGUAGSCCGGUGGAGUCUGCAACUCGACUCCAUGAAGUCGGAAUCGCUAGUAAUCGUGCAUCAGAAUGCCACGGGCAAUACUUUCCCGGGCCGGGUACACACCCCCCGUCACACAAUGGGAGUGGGUUGGAGGAGAAGUAGGUACGUUAACCUUCGGGAGGGCGCUUACCACUUUGUGAUUAUCCCCUUGCACGA